GGCCAUUGAAUGAUUUCUAAACUAAGUAGAGAAAAGAAUUGGAAAUUAGAUAAUAUCGAGAGAAGAGUAUGUGGGGAACACAAAUAUAGAAUUCAACCACUUAUUGCCUUGCUGUUUCCCUCUUUGAAUCUCCUUUUUCCAUGUCAUUCAUUCAUUUUUCAUCCACUUAUCUUUGGAGAAAAGUUUCUGUGAUAUAUAGUAUGCAAAAAUAAG
rnacentral:lncRNA from 1 species